rfam:Triticum aestivum genome assembly, contig: Triticum_aestivum_CS42_TGACv1_scaffold_093780_2AL
UUGGUACUCCCUCCGUCCGGAAAUAUUUGUCUCAGAAAUGGAUGUAUCUAGAUGUAUUUUAGUUAUAGAUACAUCCAUUUUUAUCCAUUUCCCCGACAAGUAUUUCCGGACGGAGGGAGUACAUC